CGCAUCCUUUGCUGAGGAUACGGUUAACGGAGCGAAAGCGACGUUCAACCGCAAAACAAGCAGAGGGGGCUUAGUGGUGGGGUGACUGCGUACCUUUUGUAUAAUGGGUCAGCGACUUAUAUUCUGUAGCAAGGUUAACCGAAUAGGGGAGCCGGAGGGAAACCGAGUCUUAAUUGGGCGUUAAGUUGCAGGGUAUAGACCCGAAACCCGGUGAUCUAGCCAUGGGCAGGUUGAAGGUUGGGUAACACUAACUGGAGGACCGAACCGACUAAUGUUGAAAAAUUAGCGGAUGACCUGUGGCUGGGGGUGAAAGGCCAAUCAAACCGGGAGAUAGCUGGUUCUCCCCGAAAGCUAUUUAGGUAGCGCCUCGUGAAUUCAUCUCCGGGGGUAGAGCACUGUUUCGGCUAGGGGGCCAUCCCGGCUUACCAACCCGAUGCAAACUGCGAAUACCGGAGAAUGUUAUCACGGGAGACACACGGCGGGUGCUAACGUCCGUCGUGAAGAGGGAAACAACCCAGACCGCCAGCUAAGGUCCCAAAGUCAUGGUUAAGUGGGAAACGAUGUGGGAAGGCCCAGACAGCCAGGAUGUUGGCUUAGAAGCAGCCAUCAUUUAAAGAAAGCGUAAUAGCUCACUGGUCGAGUCGGCCUGCGCGGAAGAUGUAACGGGGCUAAACCAUGCACCGAAGCUGCGGCAGCGAACGUAUCACCCAAGACAACUUUACGGAGUUGACGAUUGACGGAGCGAAGCGACGUCAAAGCGUUCAUUAAAGUCGAGUUGGCUUAGGGAUACGUUCGUUGGGUAGGGGAGCGUUCUGUAAGCCUGUGAAGGUGUGUCGUGAGGCAUGCUGGAGGUAUCAGAAGUGCGAAUGCUGACAUAAGUAACGAUAAAGCGGGUGAAAAGCCCGCUCGCCGGAAGACCAAGGGUUCCUGUCCAACGUUAAUCGGGGCAGGGUGAGUCGACCCCUAAGGCGAGGCCGAAAGGCGUAGUCGAUGGGAAACGGGUUAAUAUUCCCGUACUUGGUGUUACUGCGAAGGGGGGACGGAGAAGGCUAUGUUGGCCGGGCGACGGUUGUCCCGGUUUAAGCGUGUAGGUGUGUGUUCCAGGUAAAUCCGGUUCACUUUAACACUGAGGCGUGAUGACGAGGCACUACGG
rnacentral:rRNA from 1 species